rnacentral:rRNA from 1 species
UACGGAGGGUGCAAGCGUUGUCCGGAUUCACUGGGUGUAAAGGGUGUGUAGGCGGAGCAGCAAGUCAGUGGUGAAAGCUUGCUGCUUAACCGUAGAAUUGCCAUAGAUACUGCUGUUCUUGAGUACUGGAGAGGCUGCUAGAAUUCGUGGUGUAGCGGUGAAAUGCGUAGAUAUCACGAGGAAUACCAGAGGCGUAGGCGGGUAGCGGGACAGAUAAUGACGAUGAGGCACGAAAGCGUGGGGAGCAAACAGG